rnacentral:rRNA from 1 species
UACGUAGGGGGCAAGCGUUGUCCGGAUUUAUUGGGCGUAAAGAGCUCGUAGGCGGUCUGUCGCGUCGAUCGUGAAAACUUGGGGCUUAACCCUGAGCUUGCGGUCGAUACGGGCAUGACUGGAGUUCGGCAGGGGAGACUGGAAUUCCUGGUGUAGCGGUGAAAUGCGCAGAUAUCAGGAGGAACACCGGUGGCGAAGGCGGGUCUCUGGGCCGAUACUGACGCUGAGGAGCGAAAGCGUGGGGAGCGAACAGG